rnacentral:rRNA from 1 species
CAUGCAAGUCGAGCGGUAGCACAGGGGAGCUUGCUCCCUGGGUGACGAGCGGCGGACGGGUGAGUAAUGUCUGGGAAACUGCCUGAUGGAGGGGGAUAACUACUGGAAACGGUAGCUAAUACCGCAUAACGUCGCAAGACCAAAGAGGGGGACCUUCGGGCCUCUUGCCAUCAGAUGUGCCCAGAUGGGAUUAGCUAGUAGGUGGGGUAAUGGCUCACCUAGGCGACGAUCCCUAGCUGGUCUGAGAGGAUGACCAGCCACACUGGAACUGAGACACGGUCCAGACUCCUACGGGAGGCAGCAGUGGGGAAUAUUGCACAAUGGGCGCAAGCCUGAUGCAGCCAUGCCGCGUGUGUGAAGAAGGCCUUCGGGUUGUAAAGCACUUUCAGCGAGGAGGAAGGUGGUGAGCUUAAUACGCUCAUCAAUUGACGUUACUCGCAGAAGAAGCACCGGCUAACUCCGUGCCAGCAGCCGCGGUAAUACGGAGGGUGCAAGCGUUAAUCGGAAUUACUGGGCGUAAAGCGCACGCAGGCGGUUUGUUAAGUCAGAUGUGAAAUCCCCGGGCUCAACCUGGGAACUGCAUUUGAAACUGGCAAGCUAGAGUCUCGUAGAGGGGGGUAGAAUUCCAGGUGUAGCGGUGAAAUGCGUAGAGAUCUGGAGGAAUACCGGUGGCGAAGGCGGCCCCCUGGACGAAGACUGACGCUCA